CUUUUUGAGAUGAUCCCA
rnacentral:snRNA from 1 species